AUUGAACGCUGGCGGCAGGCUUAACACAUGCAAGUCGAGCGGGGGAGGUUGCUUCGGUAACUGACCUAGCGGCGGACGGGUGAGUAAUGCUUAGGAAUCUGCCUAUUAGUGGGGGACAACAUCUCGAAAGGGAUGCUAAUACCGCAUACGUCCUACGGGAGAAAGCAGGGGACCUUCGGGCCUUGCGCUAAUAGAUGAGCCUAAGUCGGAUUAGCUAGUUGGUGGGGUAAAGGCCUACCAAGGCGACGAUCUGUAGCGGGUCUGAGAGGAUGGUCCGCCACACUGGGACUGAGACACGGCCCAGACUCCUACGGGAGGCAGCAGUGGGGAAUAUUGGACAAUGGGGGAACCCUGAUCCAGCCAUGCCGCGUGUGUGAAGAGGCCUUUUGGUUGUAAAGCACUUUAAGCGAGGAGGAGGCUACUGGUAUUAAUACUACCGGAUAGUGGACGUUACUCGCAGAAUAAGCACCGGCUAACUCUGUGCCAGCCGCCGCCGUAACAC
rnacentral:rRNA from 1 species